rnacentral:lncRNA from 1 species
AACAGUUACCCUUCAUUUCUCUAUAAAUAUUACUUCCACUUCAAUUCACAAUGAAUCAAAUCUCUCCUCUAAUUCUUCCCAAUCUCUCAGUUUUAUUUUUCUGAGAAAUAAAUAGGUAUAUAUGACUAGUACUGAUGUUUUGAGUAGGAGGAAAUAUGGUUACACAAAGAUGGAAAUUGAAGACCCUGAAGAAAUCCAACACAGAAAAGCCCAGUUCUUGAUCUACAAAGUACUCCAACAGGCUGCAGAUUCCCCGAGAAGAACACGAAGAAGACGAUCGCUGUCGUGGUGGUGGUUACGAGUAAAAAUUUGUAGAUUGAAGAUUAAGAUUGGGAAAAGGCUCAAGAAGUUGAAGAAGGGCAAAUGUGGUGCUCAAAAACAAGUUGCUAGUCAAUUGAAAACUAAUUGGAAGCGCUUGUUUGCUGUUAGGUCAUAAUAGUACAUUGUUAGUACUCUUCAUUUGAUAUAUAUAAUAUGAUCUUACACUUCUUUGUUUGUUUGAUAAGAGAGUUGAUAAAUAUAUAUUUAUUUGAUAAUCGGGAGUUUUUCAACCGCAAUCGGACUAAUAUCUCCACUCUUUUCUUUUUCUUGAUUUUAUUUUUUUUGAAGUUGGCUAGGAAUUGUGAUAUUUUUUGCAAUUGGAAGCUUUUAUGGAUGGGAGUGUAAUGAAUGAACAAAGCUUGAGCUCAAUAACAUGGCAUGGGCUUCUUUCUUCUUAAUUUGGAAUGAGGGCAUGAAUUCAAAGUUUGCAAAGGAACAUGCCUAUUCCCUGUAAUUAUUUCUGGAUAUCUAAUUAAACAACUCUUCUUAGCCUAC